CAGCGCCACGAGUGGUAACCACGUUUAUUGGGCCUAAAGCGUCCGUAGCCGGGUUGAUAAAUCUUUUGUGAAAUUGUACAGCUUAACUGUACAGCGUGCAAGAGACACUGUCAAACUCGAGACCGGGAGGAGUCAGAAGUAUUCCAGAGGGAGCGGUAAAAUGUUAUAAUCUCUGGAGGACUACCUGUGGCGAAGGCGUCUGACCAGAACGGAUCUGACGGUGAGGGACGAAAGCCAGGGGAGCAAAACGGAUUAGAUACCCGAGUAGUCC
rnacentral:rRNA from 1 species